GAUGAACGCUGGCGGCGUGCCUAACACAUGCAAGUCGAGCGGAUAGAGGGAGCUUUCGCCGGGAUUCCGCGGGGGGCGGGUGAGUGAGUCCCAGGAGUCUACCUGGCAUUUGUGGAUGACGUCCGUAAGCGGGCGCGGAUAACACAGACGACCAGAUGGUGAACCGGGGGGAUCGUUGGAGCUCACCGGAUCAGCUGGACCGAGUUCGGGUUAGCUAGUUGGUUGGGGGAAGGCCUACCAAGGCGACGAUCCGUAACCAGUCUGAGAGGAUGAUCAGCCACACUGGAACUGAGACACGGUCCAGACUCCUACGGGAGGCAGCAGUGGGGAAUAUUGGACAAAGGGCGAAAGCCUGACCCAGCCAUGCCGCGUGUGUGAAGAAGGUCUUCGGAUCGUAAAGCACUUUUAGUUGGGAGGAAGGGCAGUAAGUUAAUACAUUGCUGUUUUGACGUUACCAACAGAAUAAGCACCGGCUAACUACGUG
rnacentral:rRNA from 1 species